rnacentral:miRNA from 1 species
UGUGUGUGUGUGUUUGUAUGUAUGUAUGUAUGUGUGUGUGUGUGUAUAUAUAUACACACACACACACACACACA